rnacentral:lncRNA from 1 species
UAGCAAUCCCCCUAGUUAUGUCUCCAAACAUUGCCUAAAAUCUCCAGGAGGACAACAUCAUCUGAUUGAAAACCACUUGACUAAUGGAAUCGGGCUCCAUGACAAACGGCUUCUCCCGUUUACCUGGUUUACUCUUUCCUGUCUGCGUGCCAACAGGGGCCUCAAUUUUUUUUGUGUGUGUGACAAAUUAUAAAAAGCUACAGUGAAUUUGCCUUGCACUACGUCCUGACAGCAUAAUCAAAUAACAGUUUUCAACCUACUGCCUGCACAGCAAGAAGACAAAGUGUGUAAGGACGGGAGCCACAUUUUUUUUCCUUUAAUAAAUCUUCGUUCAGUGAAUGAAAAAGUGGAUUGCUGCUGCUAACCACGAGCCAAGCAGGUUACAGACUCUACACACAUUAUACAGUUUCAUUCCCCAACCACCUAUGCAUUACAUAUUAAAAGGCCUGUUUCUGAAAGGCAGAGUGUAGAGGAUUUGUAGGGCAGUGAAAAGGUAUCCAUAAUCAGUGAUCUAUUGCCAAACCUUAACAGGAAGUCACAUGGCCAAGGAGAACACGGUUUGUGGAGUUCCAGCACCAGCCUCAAAGCAGAGCAUGGAAGGAAGAGAAAAAAAUCUGUGCUAUGGACAGAAAGCAAGAGGAAGCAUCAAAGGUGCUGAUGGUGAAGGAGGAUAUGCUAUGAGACAAAACCUUGACAAGAUGUAUUGGACAGCAGAGCUUCUCACAUUUGAACAAGCAUAAGAAUCUCUGGGAGAACAUGUGAACGCAGAUACCCAGGCCUUCACCUUGGGAGAUUUUAAAUGAGUAGGUCUAAGGUGGGACCCCAAAAACCUGCAUUUCUGAUGAGCUAUGCUGAUCCGGUGCACUCUGAGCAGAUCCAUGCAGCACUUUCAGGCUUCCUUUCUCUGCAGCUUUCAGCUUCAAGACACCCUGGGACUCUGCCCUCUCUUGGCUUUCUAGAAAUACCACACUAUUCUAAUUCCUCAGUCUCAUUUCCAAAGUCAUCUCUUUCCUCUUUGUGUCCUUUUCCUCUCAAACUAUGAGAUAUCCAGGGCUUGACUUUCUGACCACUUGCUUUCUGCAGGAUACAUGUGAAAAUAAUUUAUAUCAAUAUUUCUAGACGGAUCCACUGGCUCCUCCCAGGCCAUGUAUUGUCAUUCCUGCUAUAUCUACUUGGAAAUCUCUUCCUAGUUGUCUGUGCCUUCUACCUUACCUGAAAAACACCUGUCCUUUAUUUCUCCCCCAAAUCUAGAGUCUUCCUUGACUGAUGUGGGACCCCACAGUCUCUACCCCUCACAGUUCAACAAAGGAGGGAGUACUUGUCCGUUCAUAACAUCACAAUCCAAAAUGUGCUCCUUGAUUGAAUCUGGAUUUGAAAAUAUCAGUGUUAAAAAUAUUUGAGAACAAGCGGGGAAAUUUGAUAGUGGACUGGGGUGUGUAAGAUGUUAUUAAAGGAUUAUUAGGUUUUUUUGAGUAACAUAUUGGGGUCAUGUGGGAAAAUGUACUUUUUCUAGUAGAAAAAUAGACCUCCAAACUAUUUUUUAGCUUAAAUUGUCCUGACCCCAUCACCUAAGCGAUGUAAUAGGGGAACAUGACUAAUUCAUUAGAGUUGCUAAAGCUGUUUGCCAUGCCACUGUGAGCAGUUUAAAGGAUAACUAAUAAAAUAUUAACUUAGGUGGCAUGUCCAGAGGACACUUAAUAUAAGACUAUUUUCUUUAUUAGAAAAGUGAAUAUGGAUAUUUUUGAAGUCUGCUUGAAGAUAAUUCUGACUAUUCAUUUUUUUGUCCUGAACAGAAUGUACUCUGAGGUUGAAAAUGGUCUUGAUUUUCAAAAAUAGAGUAGUCUGGAUAUAGAUCAUAAACAUGUAGCUGAGUGCUGAAAAGAAAAAUGAGAUUUUGUAAAAAGGGGAUAAUUUUCAAGUUGACAAACAUUGGUGAACUUCAGGGCCCAGGGCCAUUUCAGAAUUCAGAGAGAUUAACAAGUAAUUACAUUUUUAUUGAGUGUCUAGGAUUGACAGACCUGGGGCUGAUGGAUUCUUGGGAGGUUACAGUCUAGGUGAGUGGGAGACAUGCAUUUGUGGAAUGGUCCAGACAACAGAUGGAGUCACUAAGAGCUGCCAACACUGUAAAGCCCUGGUUUACAAACUUGACUGCAUUUUGGACUCGCAUGGAGAGGUUUAAAAAAUACUGAUGCCUGGGUCCCAACUCUUGUGUGUCUGAUUUAGUUGCCCUGGGGUGUGUCCUGUGCAUCGGAUUUUCAAAAUUCCCCAGGUGAAUCUAAUGUGCACUUAAGGCUGAGAACAAGUGUACAGAAGUCCAGGAUCAAUUCCAGCUGGAGAAUUUGACUUCCUGGACUAGGCUCUGUGCCUGCCCUCGAGGAGCUCUCUAAUUGUUUUACUCUUUCUCCUCCCCUGCCUCUCAUCAUUUGUUCUACUUAGAAAUUUUUGUCUUUCUUGCUUGAAAGUGAACUAACCACAACAAACAAAGGGAAAUAAAUGAUUAUUACACCCAGGCAGCAAACAAGCACUACCAAUGAUAGAGAUCUUGGUUUAUGCAAGUAGCUCAGUAAACAAAUGCUGUGUUAAAAGCUGAAAGAAUGCCCUCCCUCUACUGCUAGAACAAAACAUCAUCCAUGUGUCGGCCUGUGGUCUGAUGAGUGAUUCAACUUUCUUCCUCCGAGACUUUGUUGGUGUCUGAUAGAUGCCACUAGAGGCUAUGUUCUAUUCCAGCCUGUUUGAAAUGCAAAGACUUGCGUAGCAAAAUUAUCUCACUCUAGGAAAAUAGACAAGUGGUCAGUAAACUAUGGUUCUGUGGGCCAAAUGCAGCCCACUUACUGUUUUGUAAAUCAAGUUUCACUGGAACAUAGCCAUGCCCAUUCAUUUACUUAUUGUCAAUGGCUGCUUUUGCACUACAGCGACAGAGUUGAAUAGUUGUGAAAGAGCCUGACUGACAGGCCUGCAAAGCCAAAAAUGUUGUCUAUCUGGUCAGUUACAAAAAAAAAAAAGAAAAUAGUUGCCAAUCCCUGUAAUAUAGGCAUUUUCAUGCUGUCUUGUUAGCAUUUGCCUGCUGUGGUCAAUCAAUUUGAAAAAUGUCUCCAGUUCUUCACUCCUCCCUAUAUCUGUCUCAUUUUCAAUGUGACUGCAACUCCCCUCACCUGGGCACGGAGCCAGUUUCACCAGCCAUUGCAUCUGUGUUGGCCUGAGAGUUAUUUUGACCUAGAAUGCCAAGAAAGUGACACUGUAUCCACCCUGAGCUGAGACUUCAAGAGGCUUUUCAGACUUUCACUUGCUCUGUUAGCAUCCUGACUCUAUGAAUAAGCUUAGGCUAGCUUUCUGGAUGAUGGGAGACACACAGCCCAGGUUGCCCCAUUGCCUUAGCCAACAGUCAGACAGUCUUCCAAAGCAGAAUUGCCUUCUAAACUGCAACUGACCACAGGUGCAUGAAUGAGCCUGAUCAAGACCAAAAGAAGGGCCCAGCUGAGCACAGCACAAAUUGUCAACCUGCCGAUGCAUGGACUAUAUACAUGUUUGAUGUUUUAACCCACCACAUUCGAGAGUGGUUUGUUGUACAGUAAAAGCUAACUGAUUCACCUGUCAUUAGGAAUUAAGCCAACUAAUUUUGUGGUAGGAUUUCCUUUUUUCCUUUCUUUAUUCAAAGCCAGAAUAUCUCAGUCUUGUCCAUAAACCUCAAUCUGAAAACAGAGAGAACAAUGCAAAGAAAGAAAAACUUUAUGAUGAUUCUAUGACACUUUCACCAAACACUAAGAAAACAAACAUAAAAUGAACAACUUGGUUUUCAAACAGAAAUAAUAAAUCUGUAAGGGCCCACAUAUAAAUAUAUACUGACAGCAUUUGAAGGUAAAGAAAAAAAUAUAUACGUAUAUAAAAAAUUAAGCAAGAAUAAAACCAAUGGUUGAAGAAAUUGUAAUAAAAAAUUACCAUGUGCCAG